CCCCUGGAAGUCCAGUAGCUAGGACUCUGCGCUCUCAAUGCAGGGGCCCUGGGUUCGAUCCCUGGUCAGGGAA
rnacentral:tRNA from 1 species